CCCUAGCCCUGAUAGCAGCGGCAUCCUUUUAUUUUUGAUACUGAGCUUGUCAAAGCGAUGUAUAAAAAUAAAAGAUAUAGCGAAUAGCAGGAUUAGCU
rnacentral:sRNA from 1 species